rnacentral:rRNA from 1 species
AGCGAACGCUGGCGGCAGGCCUAACACAUGCAAGUCGAACGAAGUCUUCGGACUUAGUGGCGGACGGGUGAGUAACACGUGGGAACGUGCCUUUAGGUUCGGAAUAACUCAGGGAAACUUGUGCUAAUACCGAAUGUGCCCUUCGGGGGAAAGAUUUAUCGCCUUUAGAGCGGCCCGCGUCUGAUUAGCUAGUUGGUGAGGUAAAGGCUCACCAAGGCGACGAUCAGUAGCUGGUCUGAGAGGAUGAUCAGCCACAUUGGGGCUGAGACACGGCCCAAACUCCUACGGGAGGCAGCAGUGGGGAAUCUUGCGCAAUGGGCGAAAGCUUGACGCAGCCAUGCCGCGUGAAUGAUGAAGGUCUUAGGAUUGUAAAAUUCUUUCACCGGGGACGAUAAUGACGGUACCCGGAGAAGAAGCCCCGGCUAACUUCGUGCCAGCCGCCGCGGUAAGAC